GGAGGAAGAAGAAGAAGGAAGAGGUGGAGGAAGAUGAGAAGAGGAUGAGAAGAAGAAAAGAGAAAAAAAAAGAAAAGGACUCCCUGGACUGCGACUCCACUAUGACCCAAGAGGAGGUGGCCACUCAAUGCUGAGGUCACACAGCUCCCAUCCUUAUGCAGAAAAGUCAAGCCAAGAGUCCCUGAAUGCUGCGAAGGAGACACACUGCUGCUGGAACACUGCACCACCUAGCCAAGCCAAGCCACAACACAACACAA